AUUGAACGCUGGCGGCAGGCUUAACACAUGCAAGUCGAGCGGGGGAAGGUAGCUUGCUACCGGACCUAGCGGCGGACGGGUGAGUAAUGCUUAGGAAUCUGCCUAUUAGUGGGGGACAACAUCUCGAAAGGGAUGCUAAUACCGCAUACGUCCUACGGGAGAAAGCAGGGGUUCUUCGGACCUUGCGCUAAUAGAUGAGCCUAAGUCGGAUUAGCUAGUUGGUGGGGUAAAGGCCUACCAAGGCGACGACCUGUAGCGGGUCUGAGAGGAUGAUCCGCCACACUGGGACUGAGACACGGCCCAGACUCCUACGGGAGGUAGCAGUGGGGAAUAUUGGACAAUGGGGGGAACCCUGAUCCGGCCAUGCCGCGUGUGUGAAGAAGGCCUUAUGGUUGUAAAGCACUUUAAGCGAGGAGGAGGCUACUUUAGUUAAUACCUAGAGAUAGUGGACGUUACUCGCAGAAUAAGCACCGGCUAACUCUGUGCCAGCCGCCGCCGUAA
rnacentral:rRNA from 1 species